GAAAUUCUCAGGAGUUUUGAAUUUCUGAGGUCUGUAAUGCUUUUCUCUCGUGAUUUUCCAUGGAAAAUGUAAGUUUGAUAAUGCAUUUUAAGUGAGGGGGGAUAGUUACUAGAAUAUAAAGCACUUUAAUGGAAAACCUUUUAAAAUAGUAUGCAUUGUAAUACAAAUUGAAUUUUGCUGUUAUAGAAAUAUAUUCUUAUAUUUCAGCACAAUAGUGGAGCUGAUUUAGCAAUCCUUUUAAUCAAUGUAUUAAAUGAAUCUGAAGUAGCUGUUUGUGAUGAAUAUAUGGAAAAAUUAGCCACUCUGUUUUCAAUGAUGUUGCCAGACUCUCCUGAAAGAUCUAACUUCUUAACAACAGCUUUGAAGUGGUCCAGCAAAAAUAGUUGUACAGAUUCUUUUGGGCAUCCCAACUUACACAAGUUAAUUGCUAAUGCAUUAUGGAAAG